rnacentral:rRNA from 1 species
CAGGUAUCCGUAGGGCGGGAACCCGGACCCGGGGAGUUGGAGCUGGCUCCUUUGACGUUAGCGGGGGACGGGUGAGUAACACGUGGAUAACCUACCUAUAAGACUGGGAUAACUUCGGGAAACCGGAGCUAAUACCGGAUAACAUAUUGAACCGCAUGGUUCAAUAGUGAAAGGCGGCUUUGCUGUCACUUAUAGAUGGAUCCGCGCCGUAUUAGCUAGUUGGUAAGGUAACGGCUUACCAAGGCAACGAUACGUAGCCGACCUGAGAGGGUGAUCGGCCACACUGGAACUGAGACACGGUCCAGACUCCUACGGGAGGCAGCAGUAGGGAAUCUUCCGCAAUGGGCGAAAGCCUGACGGAGCAACGCCGCGUGAGUGAUGAAGGUCUUCGGAUCGUAAAACUCUGUUAUCAGGGAAGAACAAAUGUGUAAGUAACUGUGCACAUCUUGACGGUACCUGAUCAGAAAGCCACGGCUAACUACGUGCCAGCAGCCGCGGUAAUACGUAGGUGGCAAGCGUUAUCCGGAAUUAUUGGGCGUAAAGCGCGCGUAGGCGGUUUUUUAAGUCUGAUGUGAAAGCCCACGGCUCAACCGUGGAGGGUCAUUGGAAACUGGAAAACUUGAGUGCAGAAGAGGAAAGUGGAAUUCCAUGUGUAGCGGU